rnacentral:ncRNA from 1 species
GCACGGCAAGGAUUAGCCACCCACCGUAAGCGAGUCUUGUGCUGUAUGUAGUAAUGCGUACAGUAAAGCGUAGACAGCGUGGAAGCAGGGUUACAAGGUGAUAGAGCCUCGAAAUUUUACAAUCCGGAGGGCUGACGCUUUAAUUCCGGCGGAAAGCAAUAUGUAUGAGUCGUUAUGGUGAGACGAAAUACACCUCAGCGGGGUCAAAGAGC